rnacentral:lncRNA from 1 species
UGUGAGGAGACGAUUGAAAAACCCAAAAAGAAGAAAAAGCAAAAGCCCCAGGAGGUUCAUCAGGAGAAUGGAAUGGAAGACCCAUCUAUCUCUUUCUCCAAACCCAAGAAAAAGAAAUCUUUUUCCAAGGAGGAGUUGAUGAGUAGCGAUCUUGAAGAGACCGCUGGCAGCACCAGUCUUCCCAAGAGGAAGAAGUCUUCACCCAAGGAGGAAACAGUUAAUGACACCGAAGAGUCAGGCCACAGAAGUGGCUCCAAGAAAACGAGGAAAUUCUCCAAAGAGGAGCUGGUCAGCAGUGGGCCUGAAGAGGCGGCUGGCAAGAGCAGCUCCAAGAAGAAGAAAAAGUUCCAUAAAGCAUCCCAGGAAGAUUAG